rnacentral:rRNA from 1 species
UCAAGCUACAAAGAGCACAAGGGGAAUGCCUUGGCACCGAGAGCCGAAGAAGGACGUGACUAACUGCGAUAAGCUACGGGGAGCUGUAAGUGAGCGUUAUAUCCGUAGAUUUCCGAAUGGAGCAAUCCGAUUAGAGGAAAGUCUAAUCAUCAUAUACUGAAUACAUAGGUAUAUGAGGGGAACCGCCUGAACUGAAACAUCUAAGUAGGGCGAGGAAGAGAAAUCAACUGAGAUUCCGUAAGUAGUGGCGAGCGAACGCGGAAGAGGCCAAACCUAAUGUAGUAAUAUGUUAGGGGUUCGGACAGUAAAAUGAAUUGUCGAGAUUUAGCCGAAUGUCAUGGGAAGGGCAAUCAAAGAAGGUGAAAAUCCUGUAGGCGAAAAGUUAAGACAUCAGACUGUAUCCAGAGUACCGCCGGACACGUGAAACCCGGUGGGAAUACGGGGGGACCAUCCUCCAAGCCUAAAUACUACUCGGUGACCGAUAGAGAAGAAGUACUGUGAAGGAAAGGUGAAAAGCACCCCGGAAGGGGAGUGAAAGAGAACCUGAAACCUUGUGUUUACAAGCACCGAAAGUUCAUCAACGAACGAUCGGGUACCUUUUGUAGAAUGGUCCGGCGAGUGAAUGUAACUGGCAAGGUUAAGCACUUAAGGUGUGAAGCCGUAGCGAGAGCGAGUCUGAAAAGGGCGCAUGAAGUCAGUUGUAUUCGACCCGAAACCGGGUGACCUACCCAUGUCCAGGCUGAAGUGCAGGUAAAACUUCAUGGAGGGCCGAACCGACUCCCGUUGAAAUGGUAGCGGAUGAGGUGUGGGUAGCGGAGAAAUUCCAAUCGAACCCGGAGAUAGCUGGUUCUCUCCGAAAUAGCUUUAGGGCUAGCCUUGGAAUAGAUUACUGGAGGUAAAGCACUGAAUUGGCUAGGGGCCGAGAGGUUACUGAACCUUAUCAAACUAAGAAUGCCAGAUAAUCGUUUUCCAGGAGUCAGACAGUGGGAGAUAAGUUUCAUUGUCAAAAGGGAAACAGCCCAGACCUACAGCUAAGGUCCCAAAGUAUAGUUAAGUGGAAAAGGAUGUGGAAUUGCAUAGACAACCAGGAUGUUGGCUUAGAAGCAGCCACUCAUUAAAAGAGUGCGUAAUAGCUCACUGGUCGAGUGAUUCUGCGCCGAAAAUUUAACGGGGCUAAACUAUACACCGAAGCUUAGGAUACCGCAAGGUAUGGUAGGAGAGCGUUCUGUACGGAGUGAAGUCGUAGCGAAAGCGGCGGUGGACUGUACAGAAGUGAGAAUGCCGGAAUAAGUAGCGAGAAUUAAGUGAGAAUCUUAAUGGCCGAAAGUCUAAGGUUUUUGGAGGAAGGUUCGUCCGCUCCAAGUAAGUCGGGAGCUAAGGUCAGGCCGAAAGGCGUAGCCGAUGCACAAACGGUUGAUAUUCCGUUACCGUCUACAAUUUAAACAAAGGGACACAUACAAAGCGUUUAACCCGGGCGAUGGUUGACCCGGGCGCAAGGGACUGAAAUAAGAGUAGGGAAGUAAAUGUGGCGUAUGGCGAGAAAAGCUUUGUGAAUAGAAGUAGACGCCCGUACCGCAAACCGACACAGGUGGACAGGAAGAGAAUUCUAAGGCCAGCGGGAGAAGGGUAGUUAAGGAACUCGGCAAAUUGACUCCGUAACUUCGGAAUAAGGAGUGCUCGAAAGAGCCGCAGAGAAUAGGCCCAGGCGACUGUUUAGCAAAAACACAGGUCUCUGCCAAAUCGAAAGAUGAAGUAUAGGGGCUGACACCUGCCCGGUGCCGGAAGGUUAAGAGGAGGAGUGCAAGCUCCGAAUUGAAGCCCCGGUAAACGGCGGCCGUAACUAUAACGGUCCUAAGGUAGCGAAAUUCCUUGUCGGGUAAGUUCCG